rfam:Triticum urartu cultivar G1812 contig520926, whole genome shotgun sequence.
UCCAUUGCUCAGUUGGUAAAGCACAAGGCUCUUAGCCUUGUGGACGUGGGUUCAAGCCCUGCGAUGGAG